CAUCCAACUGGUUCCAAAGACAGUAUCCGAUGAAGACAUUUGGUUGCCACCUGAGUUCGAUCGGGUUCUCACUCACAAACUGAUUUGUAAACAGCCAGAUUGCCUCUCAUCACCUUGUCUGAAUGGAGGUAGCUGUGUGGAGACACUUGAUGGAUUCGAGUGCAGCUGCCAGUCGGGAUAUUAUGGACCGGUUUGUGCCUGGACUUGUCCAGAUUCUUGGAUCUAUUUUCGAGGGAGCUGUUAUGGUUAUUUCUCUGAGGGAGCUACAUUCGAGACGGCCCAAUCGAAUUGUCGUGAUGUCAUCAUAUCGGGAAGACAAGCAAACAUACUGUCCAUUCACAGCCGG